rnacentral:rRNA from 1 species
AUUGAACGCUGGCGGCAUGCCUUACACAUGCAAGUCUAACGGCAGCGGGGACUUCGGUCCGCCGGCGAGUGGCGAACGGGUGAGUAAUGUAUCGGAACGUACCAUUGAGUGGGGGAUAACGUAGCGAAAGUUACGCUAAUACCGCAUAUUCUCUCCGGAGGAAAGCAGGGGACCGCAAGGCCUUGCGCUCUUUGAGCGGCCGAUAUCAGAUUAGCUAGUUGGUGAGGUAAAGGCUCACCAAGGCGACGAUCUGUAGCGGGUCUGAGAGGAUGAUCCGCCACACUGGGACUGAGACACGGUCCAGACUCCUACGGGAGGCAGCAGUGGGGAAUUUUGGACAAUGGGGGCAACCCUGAUCCAGCCAUGCCGCGUGAGUGAAGAAGGCCUUCGGGUUGUAAAGCUCUUUCGGCCGGGAAAAAAUCGCAUGGGCUAGUACCCUGUGUGGAUGAUGGUACCGGAAUAAGAAGCACCGGCUAACUACGUGCCAGCCGCCGCAGUAAUAC